GCCGGGAGUAGUGGCGUGCUCCUGUAAUCCAGCUACUUGGAGGCCGGGUGCAGUGGAUGACUCUGAUCGUGCAAUUCGGGUACGGCUGGUUGCGCGUUUUCGGAUUAACGGUCGGCGGGACGCUCCGACCAAGCGUUCUCGCCGGUCGAUGGGGUAAUAACUAACCCAU
rnacentral:SRP_RNA from 1 species